rnacentral:rRNA from 1 species
ACACAUGCAGUCGAGCGGGGGGAGGUAGCUUGCUACCGGACCUAGCGGCGGACGGGUGAGUAAUGCUUAGGAAUCUGCCUAUUAGUGGGGGACAACAUCUCGAAAGGGAUGCUAAUACCGCAUACGUCCUACGGGAGAAAGCAGGGGAUCUUCGGACCUUGCGCUAAUAGAUGAGCCUAAGUCGGAUUAGCUAGUUGGUGGGGUAAAGGCCUACCAAGGCGACGAUCUGUAGCGGGUCUGAGAGGAUGAUCCGCCACACUGGGACUGAGACACGGCCCAGACUCCUACGGGAGGCAGCAGUGGGGAAUAUUGGACAAUGGGGGGAACCCUGAUCCAGCCAUGCCGCGUGUGUGAAGAAGGCCUUAUGGUUGUAAAGCACUUUAAGCGAGGAGGAGGCUACUUUAGUUAAUACCUAGAGAUAGUGGACGUUACUCGCAGAAUAAGCACCGGCUAACUCUGUGCCAGCAGCCGCGGUAAUACAGAGGGUGCGAGCGUUAAUCGGAUUUACUGGGCGUAAAGCGUGCGUAGGCGGCUUAUUAAGUCGGAUGUGAAAUCCCCGAGCUUAACUUGGGAAUUGCAUUCGAUACUGGUGAGCUAGAGUA